UGCUUGUUGAGGGCAGGUUUUACAGAUCCUUCUGACAACUUCCAUGAAGUGCCUUGUCAGCACCUCUGUAGCCCCAGCAGCUGCUGAAAGGAGGUGGUCAAGAUUUUGUAGAAGACCAUUUCUUCUUUGACACUGGGAAAUUGACCCUUGAAGUUCCUCAUAGAGAGGAGCACAAGCA